ensembl:miRNA
CCUAUGUGUAUCCUCAGCUUUGAGAACUGAAUUCCAUAGGUUGUGUCAGUGUCAGACCUAUGAAGUUUAGUUCUUUAGCUGGGAUAUCUCUAUCAUCCU